GCCGAGAGGGCAGUGGUGGUGGUGAACGUCUUUAAUAACCACCGCUCACACCGCUGCGGUUCACCUGGGACGUUCUCCACUGCCCGGCUGCGUCUUUUCGUCGGACCGCAGCGGUCAAGCGGGUACCGGUACCAGAGGACCCUGUGUGUGCGAGGGUGCUGGGUUCAUUGCAGCGCGGGGUUCCGAAGUUAAUUCAUCCAUCGUUGCAAAAGUGUGUUCAGAGAGGAGUUCCCGCCUGCACUGAAAGAAUAGCUCAACAUCUGUCAUCCCAUUCUCUGCCAUGGCCCAAAAUCAGGAAGACUACAGCUGUCCUGUUCCUUUCAGAUACUUCUGGGAUAGAGAGGUUGGGAAUUAUACCACAACUGCUGAGUGCUGGAUGAAG
rnacentral:lncRNA from 1 species